GAUGAACGCUGGCGGCGUGCCUAAUACAUGCAAGUCGUACGGAAAGGCCCUUCGGGGUACUCGAGUGGCGGACGGCUGAGUAACGCGUGGGAACGUUCCCCAAAGUGAGGGAUAACGCACCGAAAGGUGUGCUAAUACCGCAUAUGGUCUUCGGAUUAAAGCUUCGGCGCUUUGGGAGCGGCCCGCGUCCGAUUAGAUAGUUGGUGAGGUAAUGGCUCACCAAGUCGACGAUCGUUAGCUGGUCUGAGAGGAUGAUCAGCCAGACUGGGACUGGGACACGGCCCAGACUCCUACGGGAGGCAGCAGUAAGGAAUCUUCCACAAUGGGGGCAACCCUGAUGGAGCAACGCCGCGUGCAGGAUGAAGGUUUUCGGAUCGUAAACUGCUUUUAUAAGUGAAGAAUAUGACGGUAACUUAUGAAUAAGGAUCGGCUAACUACGUGCCAGCCGCCGCGGUAA
rnacentral:rRNA from 1 species